rnacentral:rRNA from 1 species
UACGGAGGGGGCAAGCGUUGUUCGGAAUUACUGGGCGUAAAGCGUGCGCAGGCGGUUUUGUAAGCCAGAUGUGAAAUCCCCGGGCUUAACCUGGGAAUGGCAUUUGGGACUGCAAGGCUGGAGUGCGGCAGAGGGGGAUGGAAUUCCGCGUGUAGCAGUGAAAUGCGUAGAUAUGCGGGAGGAACACCGAUGGCGAAGGCAAUCCCCUGGGCCUGUACUGACGCUCAUGCACGAAAGCGUGGGGAGCAAACAGG